UGGCAAAUCGGUCGAAAGGCUGAGACGCAAAGCUACGGUGUCUAAACGGUAUAUUCCGCAUGAUAGACCGGCUGC
rnacentral:ncRNA from 1 species